CUGAGAAUUACCUGCUCUAGCUCAAAACCAUGCUGACUCUAACUCUGAAGCAAGCCAGCCAAACAUCUUGUCCUCUGAUAAGCAGGCCUCCACAUGCAGGUCACACAAGAGAGUAGGGCAUAAAUGUUAUGAGAGGGGAUGGAAAGGGGCCAUAGACCAGAAACUGCAGCCUCUGCCAUGCAAUACCCGAUGGGAUGGUGCUGGUCUACAGAUCACAGGAGAAUGCCAUCUCAGGCUGCUGUCUUAUGUUGCACCUUUCUGAUGUUAGAAAUGGGCACCACUGACCUCUCUCUGUAAUAGUAUACUUGAAGAUUGGAAUAGAAUGUCAUUAAAAAAUCCAGCGCUAAGAAACAGGCAGUUUUACUGGCACUUUCCUGAACAGAAAUCCCAGCAUCCCUUUUCAUCUGCAGAUCAGAUAUUUAGGCUCAACCACAUCCAGAUAAAGGAAGAACUCAGAAGACUACAAUCAGUCUAACUGCAGUCAUUAAAGCACUCGUGUCUGACAAAAGUUGCCAAAGCACAGGUAAGUUAUAACCCUAUCCCAAGAAAAUACAUAAAAUGAGUCCUCGUCUGCUUUGACUAAAGGACCGUUUAAAUUACAAGUAAGAAAACAAUCCCAAAACCCCUUAACCCAGAACCUGUAACUCAUGAAUUUUAGUGGUUUUGGUUGGUGCUUUAAUUCUACUACCAGUGAGCAGCAGCAAGCUCUGUUAAAAAAAUGUUCACAGAAAGUAAUAGAAUAUGAAAGACAAUGUUACCAACUGUAGCAAAAAAAAAAAAAAAAAAAAAAGGCAAGUUAAGGGCAUAGCACAACCAAACUUUGCUAACAGAUACAGAUAAAGACAAUAAAAUUAAUAUGCUAACGCAGUGGAAGAUUGGUGGCAAACCAAAAGUGGGUAAUGUCACUUGUUAUAUGCUUCAUGCUGAGAAGGAAAAAAUGGGAAAAGCUACUGCCUACUUUUCCUCUAUUUAAUUUUAGCUAUCCCAAAUUAGAUGGCGAGUCCUCCAGCUGACAGAGGCAGGAACCUCCAGAGGGCAAUGCUCUGCACCUAUCAUGGGCAUCUGUUUUAGAAGGGCAGAGAUUAUUUCUGGAGGUGGCUGUCGUUCUUCAUUGAUCAUUUAGGGAAUGAGAGCAAUGAGUUCAACCAGAUACCUAACUUCUAGCUUUCUAAUGUAAGAUGCUUGCUAACGUAAGACACUUCAAGCUGCUCAAACCAAAAGACAGCAUACUUGUUUUUACCUUUGAUUAUGCCAUUUUAGUAAAGAACAUGAAUAAAAAGAGUA